GAUGAACGCUGGCGGCGUGCCUAAUACAUGCAAGUCGAGCGAACGGACGAGAAGUUUGCUUCUCUGAUGUUAGCGGCGGACGGGUGAGUAACACGUGGAUAACCUACCUAUAAGACUGGGAUAACUUCGGGAAACCGGAGCUAAUACCGGAUAAUAUUUUAAACCGCGUGGUUCAAAAGUGAAAGACGGUCUUGCUGUCACUUAUAGAUGGAUCCGCGCUGCAUUAGCUAGUUGGUAAGGUAACGGCUUACCAAGGCAACGAUGCAUAGCCGACCUGAGAGGGUGAUCGGCCACACUGGGACUGAGACACGGUCCAGACUCCUACGGGAGGCAGCAGUAGGGAAUCUUCCGCAAUGGGCGAAAGCCUGACGGAGCAACGCCGCGUGAGUGAUGAAGGUCUUCGGAUCGUAAAACUCUGUUAUUAGGGAAGAACAUAUGUGUAAGUAACUGUGCACAUCUUGACGGUACCUAAUCAGAAAGCCACGGCUAACUACGUGCCAGCAGCCGCGGUAAUACGUAGGUGGCAAGCGUUAUCCGGAAUUAUUGGGCGUAAAGCGCGCGUAGGCGGUUUUUUAAGUCUGAUGUGAAAGCCCACGGCUCAACCGUGGAGGGUCAUUGGAAACUGGAAAACUUGAGUGCAGAAGAGGAAAGUGGAAUUCCAUGUGUAGCGGUGAAAUGCGCAGAGAUAUGGAGGAACACCAGUGGCGAAGGCGACUUUCUGGUCUGUAACUGACGCUGAUGUGCGAAAGCGUGGGGAUCAAACAGGAUUAGAUACCCUGGUAGUCCACGCCGUAAACGAUGAGUGCUAAGUGUUAGGGGGUUUCCGCCCCUUAGUGCUGCAGCUAACGCAUUAAGCACUCCGCCUGGGGAGUACGACCGCAAGGUUGAAACUCAAAGGAAUUGACGGGGACCCGCACAAGCGGUGGAGCAUGUGGUUUAAUUCGAAGCAACGCGAAGAACCUUACCAAAUCUUGACAUCCUUUGACAACUCUAGAGAUAGAGCCUUCCCCUUCGGGGGACAAAGUGACAGGUGGUGCAUGGUUGUCGUCAGCUCGUGUCGUGAGAUGUUGGGUUAAGUCCCGCAACGAGUGCAACCCUUAAGCUUAGUUGCCAUCAUUAAGUUGGGCACUCUAAGUUGACUGCCGGUGACAAACCGGAGGAAGGUGGGGAUGACGCCAAAUCAUCAUGCCCCUUAUGAUUUGGGCUACACACGUGCUACAAUGGACAAUACAAAGGGCAGCGAAACCGCGAGGUCAAGCAAAUCCCAUAAAGUUGUUCUCAGUUCGGAUUGUAGUCUGCAACUCGACUGCAUGAAGCUGGAAUCGCUAGUAAUCGUAGAUCAGCAUGCUACGGUGAAUACGUUCCCGGGUCU
rnacentral:rRNA from 1 species